rnacentral:rRNA from 1 species
AUGUGCUGUGAGCUCGAUGAGUAGGGCGGGACACGUGGUAUCCUGUCUGAAUAUGGGGGGACCAUCCUCCAAGGCUAAAUACUCCUGACUGACCGAUAGUGAACCAGUACCGUGAGGGAAAGGCGAAAAGAACCCCGGCGAGGGGAGUGAAAAAGAACCUGAAACCGUGUACGUACAAGCAGUGGGAGCACCCUUUGGGGUGUGACUGCGUACCUUUUGUAUAAUGGGUCAGCGACUUAUAUUCUGUAGCAAGGUUAACCGAAUAGGGGAGCCGGAGGGAAACCGAGUCUUAAUUGGGCGUUAAGUUGCAGGGUAUAGACCCGAAACCCGGUGAUCUAGCCAUGGGCAGGUUGAAGGUUGGGUAACACUAACUGGAGGACCGAACCGACUAAUGUUGAAAAAUUAGCGGAUGACCUGUGGCUGGGGGUGAAAGGCCAAUCAAACCGGGAGAUAGCUGGUUCUCCCCGAAAGCUAUUUAGGUAGCGCCUCGUGAAUUCAUCUCCGGGGGUAGAGCACUGUUUCGGCUAGGGGGCCAUCCCGGCUUACCAACCCGAUGCAAACUGCGAAUACCGGAGAAUGUUAUCACGGGAGACACACGGCGGGUGCUAACGUCCGUCGUGAAGAGGGAAACAACCCAGACCGCCAGCUAAGGUCCCAAAGUCAUGGUUAAGUGGGAAACGAUGUGGGAAGGCCCAGACAGCCAGGAUGUUGGCUUAGAAGCAGCCAUCAUUUAAAGAAAGCGUAAUAGCUCACUGGUCGAGUCGGCCUGCGCGGAAGAUGUAACGGGGCUAAACCAUGCACCGAAGCUGCGGCAGCGACGCUGAUGCGUUGUUGGGUAGGGGAGCGUUCUGUAAGCCUGUGAAGGUGGCCUGUGAGGGUUGCUGGAGGUAUCAGAAGUGCGAAUGCUGACAUAAGUAACGAUAAAGCGGGUGAAAAGCCCGCUCGCCGGAAGACCAAGGGUUCCUGUCCAACGUUAAUCGGGGCAGGGUGAGUCGACCCCUAAGGCGAGGCCGAAAGGCGUAGUCGAUGGGAAACGGGUUAAUAUUCCCGUACUUGGUGUUACUGCGAAGGGGGGACGGAGAAGGCUAUGUUGGCCGGGCGACGGUU